rnacentral:rRNA from 1 species
AUUGAACGCUGGCGGCAUGCCUUACACAUGCAAGUCGAACGGUAACAGGUCUUCGGAUGCUGACGAGUGGCGAACGGGUGAGUAAUACAUCGGAACGUGCCUAGUAGUGGGGGAUAACUACUCGAAAGAGUGGCUAAUACCGCAUGAGAUCUACGGAUGAAAGCAGGGGAUCGCAAGACCUUGUGCUACUAGAGCGGCCGAUGGCAGAUUAGGUAGUUGGUGGGAUAAAAGCUUACCAAGCCGACGAUCUGUAGCUGGUCUGAGAGGACGAUCAGCCACACUGGGACUGAGAACCGGCCCAGACUCCUACGGGAGGCAGCAGUGGGGAAUUUUGGACAAUGGGCGAAAGCCUGUUCCAGCAAUGCCGCGUGCAGGAUGAAGGCCUUCGGGUUGUAAACUGCUUUUGUACGGAACGAAAAGCCCCGGGUUAAUACCCUGGGGUCAUGACGGUACCGUAAGAAUAAGCACCGGCUAACUACGUGCCAGCCGCCGCGGUAA